ACGAACGCUGGCGGCGUGCCUAAUACAUGCAAGUCGAACGCUUCUUUUUCCACCGGAGCUUGCUCCACCGGAAAAAGAGGAGUGGCGAACGGGUGAGUAACACGUGGGUAACCUGCCCAUCAGAAGGGGAUAACACUUGGAAACAGGUGCUAAUACCGUAUAACAAUCGAAACCGCAUGGUUUUGAUUUGAAAGGCGCUUUCGGGUGUCGCUGAUGGAUGGACCCGCGGUGCAUUAGCUAGUUGGUGAGGUAACGGCUCACCAAGGCGACGAUGCAUAGCCGACCUGAGAGGGUGAUCGGCCACAUUGGGACUGAGACACGGCCCAAACUCCUACGGGAGGCAGCAGUAGGGAAUCUUCGGCAAUGGACGAAAGUCUGACCGAGCAACGCCGCGUGAGUGAAGAAGGUUUUCGGAUCGUAAAACUCUGUUGUUAGAGAAGAACAAGGAUGAGAGUAACUGUUCAUCCCUUGACGGUAUCUAACCAGAAAGCCACGGCUAACUACGUGCCAGCAGCCGCGGUAAUACGUAGGUGGCAAGCGUUGUCCGGAUUUAUUGGGCGUAAAGCGAGCGCAGGCGGUUUCUUAAGUCUGAUGUGAAAGCCCCCGGCUCAACCGGGGAGGGUCAUUGGAAACUGGGAGACUUGAGUGCAGAAGAGGAGAGUGGAAUUCCAUGUGUAGCGGUGAAAUGCGUAGAUAUAUGGAGGAACACCAGUGGCGAAGGCGGCUCUCUGGUCUGUAACUGACGCUGAGGCUCGAAAGCGUGGGGAGCAAACAGGAUUAGAUACCCUGGUAGUCCACGCCGUAAACGAUGAGUACUAAGUGUUGGGAGUCAAAUCUCAGUGCUGCAGUUAACGCAAUAAGUACUCCGCCUGAGUAGUACGUUCGCAAGAAUGAAACUCAAAGGAAUUGACGGGGACCCGCACAAGCGGUGGAGCAUGUGGUUUAAUUCGAAGCAACGCGAAGAACCUUACCAGGUCUUGACAUCCUUUGACCACUCUAGAGAUAGAGCUUCCCCUUCGGGGGCAAAGUGACAGGUGGUGCAUGGUUGUCGUCAGCUCGUGUCGUGAGAUGUUGGGUUAAGUCCCGCAACGAGCGCAACCCUUAUUGUUAGUUGCCAUCAUUUAGUUGGGCACUCUAGCAAGACUGCCGGUGACAAACCGGAGGAAGGUGGGGAUGACGUCAAAUCAUCAUGCCCCUUAUGACCUGGGCUACACACGUGCUACAAUGGGAAGUACAACGAGUCGCAAAGUCGCGAGGCUAAGCUAAUCUCUUAAAGCUUCUCUCAGUUCGGAUUGUAGGCUGCAACUCGCCUACAUGAAGCCGGAAUCGCUAGUAAUCGCGGAUCAGCACGCCGCGGUGAAUACGUUCCCGGGCCUUGUACACACCGCCCGUCACACCACGAGAGUUUGUAACACCCGAAGUCGGUGAGGUAACCUUUUGGAGCCAGCCGCCUAAGGUGGGAUAGAUGAUUGGGGUG
rnacentral:rRNA from 1 species